GACGAACGCUGGCGGCGUGCUUAACACAUGCAAGUCGAACGGAAAGGCCCUGCUUUUGUGGGGUGCUCGAGUGGCGAACGGGUGAGUAACACGUGAGUAACCUGCCCUUGACUUUGGGAUAACUUCAGGAAACUGGGGCUAAUACCGGAUAGGAGCUCCUGCUGCAUGGUGGGGGUUGGAAAGUUUCGGCGGUUGGGGAUGGACUCGCGGCUUAUCAGCUUGUUGGUGGGGUAGUGGCUUACCAAGGCUUUGACGGGUAGCCGGCCUGAGAGGGUGACCGGCCACAUGGGGACUGAGAUAGGGCCCAGACCCCUACGGGGGGCAGGGGUGGGGAAUAUUGCAAAAUGGGCGGAAGCCUGAUGCAGCACCGCCGCGGGGGGGAUGACGGCCUUCGGGUUGUAAACCGCUUUCCCCUGGGACGAAGCGGGAGUGACGGUAAUGGGUAAAGAAGCACCGGCUAACUACGU
rnacentral:rRNA from 1 species